UGAGUAUUGAGAGGUGGUGUUUGCUUGUGUUGUCUUUUAAUGACAAGAUUCUUAGCUUUGAUAAAAUAUGGUAUGAGUUCAGUGAAGAUUAUACAUUAACUUAAUUUGUAACUCAAUUUAAUGACAGUUGACCCUUGAACAACACGGGUUUGAACUUCACGGGUCCACUUAUACACAGAUUUUUUUCCAUCUUUCCUGACACCCCUGAGACAGCAAGACCAGCUCCUCCUCUUCCUCAGCCUGCUCAACAUGAAGAUGACUAGGAUGAAGACCUUGAUGAUGAUCCACUUCCUUUCACUUAAUGAACAGGCCUAACCUAGAGUAGGUGCUCGGCAAACACUUCAGGGACAGUGAAAGAUGGAACACUAUUUGCCGUGUGAAGAAAGAAGGAUUCAAACGCUGGCCAAGGAAGCAGAAUGAUUCCAACGUGGCUGCAGCUUGCACCCUCUUCUGAAUCCCUGUGGAUAGUCUGAUGGCUUUGGCCAGCUUCAUUCACGUCUUGGGCAAUACUGCCUUUCCUGCCAUCUCUGCUCCUGCACCAGCACAUACCAGCCAGGCUGCACUGCUGUCUGUCCGCUUAGGCACCAGGCUCUACAGCAAGACGCUUCUGUGGACUCAGCACCGUGGAAGCUGUCCAAAGCCAUUAGUGGAAGAAGAGCCUUCAUCUUCAUUAGGGUUGAGUGGCUA
rnacentral:lncRNA from 13 species